UACGGGGGGGGCAAGCGUUGUUCGGAAUUACUGGGCGUAAAGGGCUCGUAGGCGGCCAACUAAGUCCGACGUGAAAUCCCCAGGCUUAACCUGGGAACUGCGUCGGAUACUGGAUGGCUUGAAUCCGGGAGAGGGAUGCGGAAUUCCAGGUGUAGCGGUGAAAUGCGCAGAUAUCAGGAGGAACACCGGUGGCGAAGGCGGAUCUCUGGGCCUUACCUGACGCUCAGGUGCGAAAGCUAGGGGAGCGAACAGG
rnacentral:rRNA from 1 species